AUACGGAGGGGGCUAGCGUUGUUCGGAAUUACUGGGCGUAAAGCGUACGUAGGCGGACUGAUCAGUUGGGGGUGAAAUCCCAGGGCUUAACCCUGGAACUGCCUUCAAUACUGUCAGUCUUGAGAUUGGAAGAGGUGAGUGGAAUUCCUAGUGUAGAGGUGAAAUUCAUAGAUAUUAGGAGGAACACCAGUGGCGAAGGCGGCUCACUGGUCCAAUACUGACGCUGAGGUACGAAAGCGUGGGGAGCAAACAGGAUUAGAAACACUAGUAGUCC
rnacentral:rRNA from 1 species